rnacentral:rRNA from 1 species
UGGGGAAUAUUGCACAAUGGGGGAAACCCUGAUGCAGCAACGCCGCGUGAGUGAUGACGGCCUUCGGGUUGUAAAGCUCUGUUUCCAGGGACGAUAAUGACGGUACCUGGGGAGGAAGCCACGGCUAACUACGUGCCAGCAGCCGCGGUAAUACGUAGGUGGCAAGCGUUGUCCGGAUUUACUGGGCGUAAAGGGAGCGUAGGCGGAUUUUUAAGUGGGAUGUGAAAUACCCGAGCUUAACUUGGGUGCUGCAUUCCAAACUGGAAGUCUAGAGUGUCGGAGAGGAAAGCAGAAUUCCUAGUGUAGCGGUGAAAUGCGUAGAGAUUAGGAAGAAUACCAGUGGCGAAGGCGGCUUUCUGGACGAUAACUGACGCUGAGGCUCGAAAGCGUGGGGAGCAAAC